rnacentral:rRNA from 1 species
UACGUAGGGGGCAAGCGUUGUCCGGAAUCAUUGGGCGUAAAGCGCGUGUAGGCGGCUCGAUAAGUCUGCUGUGAAAGUUCAGGGCUCAACCCUGAAAUGCCGGUGGAAACUGUCGAGCUAGAGUCCGGAAGAGGCGAGUGGAAUUCCUGGUGUAGCGGUGAAAUGCGCAGAUAUCAGGAGGAACACCAAUGGCGAGGGCAGCUCGCUGGGACGGUACUGACGCUGAGACGCGAAAGCGUGGGGAGCAAACAGG